CGGAGCAAGAAUUUCAAGUUAAGGAAAUUAAACGAACGAGGCCAAGUGAAUUAUGAAUGAUGAUAUAUAAGUCGAAUUCGGGUCCCAGUGAGGGUGGUGUCCCCGCUCGGACUAGUGUACACGGGAUACCUCUGACCGUGAACGGACGGCAGAGAAGGUGACCGUGGAAGGUGGCCACCUUCCAGGCACAAGGAUACCUCUGACCUGUUGGGCAGAGAAGGUGACCGUAUGAGAACACCAUCUCAGCGGCACAAGGAUACCUCUGACCUAUUGGGCAGGGAAGGUGACCGUAUGAGAAUACCAUCUCAGCGGCACAAGAUGAUCAGAUAUGGCUAAGUACUAAAAAAAGGGGCUGCAGCCCAAUGUGAAUAUUUUUAGUAAGCUCAGGUCUUUUCAAUAAAACCCCUGAGUGUCACUGUGA